rnacentral:rRNA from 1 species
ACCCGCACAAGCAGCGGAGCGUGUGGUUUAAUUCGUUGCUACACGAAGAACCUUACCUGGGUUUGACAUAUAGGUUGUAGGGAACUGAAAAGGGACCGACCUUCGGGGAGCCUAUACAGGUGUUGCAUGGCUGUCGUCAGCUCGUGUCGUGAGAUGUUCGGUUAAGUCCGCUAACGAGCGCAACCCUCGUCGUAUGUUAUAUGUGUCAUACGAGACUGCCGGUAAAAAGCCGGAGGAAGGUGAGGAUGAUGUCAAGUCAGCAUGACCUUUAUAUCCAGGGCUACACACACGCUACAAUGGUCUGUACAAUGGGUAGCCAAGCCGCGAGGCGGAACCAAUCCUGAAAGCAGGCCUCAGUUCAGAUUGCAGUCUGCAACUCGACUGCAUGAAGCCGGAGUUGCUAGUAACCGCAGGUCAGCAAUACUGCGGUGAAUACGUUCCCGGGUCUU